ensembl:lncRNA
CGCGCUGUGCAGCGCGAAACACUGGUAAGCUUUAAAUAUUGUAUUAAUAUUGUUUCUUCUUUUCAGACCAGUGUUCUGUGGCUGCAGGGCAGAGUCUGCUGACGGUGUCUCUGCUUAUCGGCGGCUUCAUGCGUCUGUAGCGUCGGACAGCCGAGUUCUGGACUGCUGAUGCGCUCCAUGUACACAGGUGUUGAGCUGAAUCUCAGGAUGUGGGACUAAAUACUACACUUCCCAGAACGCACCGGUAGCAGCAGAGAGGUGCUUGACACCUGAUCAGUGAUCACUGAUUUAGAGCACCUGGGAAGGACUGGGGGGAACUCAGUCAUUCAGACCAACACUCUUCAGAGGAAAAAGGAACAAGGAAAGAACAAAGGAGAUUCUAGUCCACUCGUGGAUUCAGUCCAAAGAUGCCAAUGGUUUACAACCUACUGCAAUAACACGACCAACCAACUACAAGGAAAAUAAAAGUUUGAGUUGGAAACUUGAAUUGAGUUGUCCUUACGUCCUUUGAAGGGAAAGAGGUGGACUUGACACCAGGUUUCAUAGAUG